GCCUUCCUGGCUUCACUACAGCACACUAGCCUAGCCUUCUCUGUGGUUUCUGCUCACUGAAAGGCCCGGAAGAUGAUCAGAUGGGAUCACCUCAGCGCUGCCGAAGAUCCAUGGCAGCUUUAUUUCCCCCAAACACCUCAGCAGCCUUUCUGUUCCCAAGGAAUAGCAGGGUUCGAGGGAAAAGCCUGCAGGGCAACCAGCUCCGAGGCAGGAAGAAGACUUUGAUACCGCCUAAAAAUGAGAGAGAAGAUCCGACAGCCAAGGCAGAGGACUCCAAACUGGGAACGAGUAGGAGCUGCGUCUUAUUGUCUCUGUAGUCCCAGCACCCGGCAUAGUGCCACACACAGGACAGGUGGAUACAUGCCCAGAAAUUAUUCCAUUAGAUUGAGUUAAUUAAUUAAAGUGUAUUCUCUCAUCAACUUGCUAUGUGAUUUUGGGCAAGUCACUUUACCUCUCUGAGCCACAC